rnacentral:lncRNA from 1 species
CUACAGUUCUAUAAGUGUUCCACCAGUUAGCAAGUCAUACAUGUUUUGAGUUUCGUAGUUCCUACUAGGACGUUAACGUGGCAAUAGCUCUCAUCAUUGAGACAGGGUGAUGGGAGAAGAAUGGACAACUGAGCGGUGAUGAGGAGCGAAAUUGAGGCCCAUAAAAGAUGUGCACACAUAGGAGGUCCUGUGAAAACAAUUGAGACCCCCCCGAAUGUCAAGAUGGCAUGAGAAAAUGUGAAACUAGAGGAAGAAAAAACAUUUUUUACAAACAUGUCGCUGUUGAAGGUAAUGUAUUGUAAUGAAGCUGGUAAAUCAGGUUUUGGCAACAGUAACGUGUUUGACAUAACAAGACAGAGUACCGAACGAGGAUGAGAGGUCCUUCGACACUUACUGCAGUUUGUGUUGAAUCAAACCAGUUUUAUCCGGAAACAAGUCAAUGAAGUAUAGACACUUUGAGAACCUUGUUACUGCACCAUCUCCUGAUCAUUAUAUUUCAUGUAUGACUCUGGGUGCUUGUAUUUCCUGCUGUGAUUACCACCACACUAUACAUAGGGUUGAGGAGCAGGGUUUUCCAUUCUGGACUACUUUGGCUGGAAUUCAACGCAACCCACCAUAGCACAAUUACAGUCUUUGUCUACAACCUACUGGAUAGUCUACAUGUAAUAAUCUACGAUGUACGCCUGGUUCAAUAGAAUUGAGCCCUUUUGUAUUGUCCAGCAGUUGUAUUUCUUGAAUGGUCUAUACCUGCUCAGUGCAGCCUCAGUGUUUGUACAGAUGUACAGUGGGCUCCAUAAGUAUUGAGACAGUGACACAUUUGUUGUUGUUUUGGCUCAGUACUCCAGCACUUUGGAUUUGAAAUUAUAUUUAUGCCUCUAACUUUCUCACUCAUCAUUAUUCACAAUUCAUUCAAGAUUAUCCGUAAUCAUGGUAGCAUCCACAUUAAUGUAGAAGUGUUCAGAAACAUAUUCUAUUCUUAUUUACAAUAAAAGUGACUCCAAAAAGACAUUAUUUACCAUUCAUUUCUAUUGGGCACAAAAUAACCUGAAACACAACCAAAACAAACAGCAAAUGCAUCCAACUACUGUGUAGAGUCACAAGCUUGAUGUAGUCAGUGCGUGCUAGGAAUAUGGGGCCAAAUACAAAACUUUUGAAUACUUUAAUACACAUUAGUGAAUUUGUCCCAAUACUUUUGUACAAAAAGUGCUGUAAUUUGUAAACGGUUCAACCGAUAUGGAUUAAAAUAACCUCCAAAUUAAAGCUGAC